rnacentral:rRNA from 1 species
GGUGAACGCUGGCGGCGUGCCUAAUACAUGCAAGUCGAGCGAACAGACGAGGAGCUUGCUCCUCUGACGAUAGCGGCGGACGGGUGAGUAACACGUGGAUAACCUACCUAUAAGACUGGGAUAACUUCGGGAAACCGGAGCUAAUACCGGAUAACAUGUUGAACCGCAUGGUUCAACAGUGAAAGUCGGUCUUGCUGUCACUUAUAGAUGGAUCCGCGCCGCAUUAGCUAGUUGGUAAGGUAACGGCUUACCAAGGCAACGAUGCGUAGCCGACGUGAUAGGGGGAUCGGCCACACGGGAGCGGGGACACGGUCCAGACGCCUGCGGGAGGGAGCAGUAGGGAAUCUUCCGCAAUGGGCGAAAGCCUGACGGAGCAGCGCCGCGUGAGAGAAAAAGGUCUUCGGAUCGUAAAACUCUGUUAUUAGGGAAGAACAAAUGUGUAAGUAACUAUGCACGUCUUGACGGUACCUAAUCAGAAAGCCACGGCUAACUACGUG